UACGGAGGGUGCAAGCGUUAUCCGGAUUCACUGGGUUUAAAGGGUGCGCAGGCGGAUAUGUAAGUCAGUGGUGAAAUCUCCAGGCUUAACCUGGAAAUUGCCGUUGAUACUAUAUAUCUUGAAUGUUGUGGAGGUAAGCAGAAUAUGUCAUGUAGCGGUGAAAUGCUUAGAUAUGACAUAGAAUACCUAUUGCGAAGGCAGCUUACUACGCAGAUAUUGAUGCUCAUGUACGAAAGCGUGGGGAUCAAACAGG
rnacentral:rRNA from 1 species